GCUCUGAUGGGGGUCUCGUCUCUGUGGGACUAGAAAGUGUCCCAACAAUCUGACCAAGGUAAUAAGAGUCAGACAAGAAGAAGAGUUAAGGAAACAUGAGGCUGACAAAGACAGAGACCAAAGUCAGAAUCAGAGCUGUGCUGUGAGACAAAGAGAUAAGAGAAAUAAAAUGCUGGUCACAAAAGUCAGGAAAAUUAGAAAACUUAGAUAGUACCUGGCAACAAAAAAAAAAGCUUUUGGCUAAAGAUCAACGUGUAUACUGUAAAGAAAAUGAGCACUGGGUGAGAGACUGCCCCAACAAAAAGAAGAGGAGCCCCCCUCAUGACCAAACCCUUCACCUGUUCGUGGCUAAAAGUAAAGAGAUAACAAAAGGGGUGCUAAUACAGAAGCUGAGUCCUUAAACGAGUCCGGUGGCCUACCUGUUAAAGCAGCUAGAAAAAAGAGACUGUGUUUCAUACUCCUCCACCGACCAGUGCAAAACAAGCUAAAAAGUUCCUGGGCACUGCGGGCUUUUGCAGAUUGUGGAUUCCAGGUUUUGCUGAGUUAAAGAGAUAAACAGCCCUUCGUAUAAAGAAAAAAAGAACAAUCUUAGACGGCCUUAGAUGCUCUUGAGACUGCCCUAAUGUUGUCCCCAACUUUGGGACUCCUAGAUGUGACUGAGAACAAAGGUAUUGCCAAAGAAGUUCUUACUCAGAGAUUGGGACCCUGAAAAAGACCUGUGGCAUACUUGUAAGAAAUUAGACCUGGUGGCUGUAAGAUGGCCUGCUUGUCUGCACAUAGUGGCUUCUGGUCAAGGACGCAGAUAAAUUGACUCUGAGACAAAACUUGGCACAUGUCCUAGAAAGUGUGGUUCAGCCCCCAUGACCGAUGGCUGACUAACGCUCUUAAAAGCAUUAUCCAACUGUUCCCCUGACCGAUGGACACAUUGUCAGAGCUUUGACUGAACGAGUGACCUUCGCUCCCCCUGCUAUCCUCGAUCUCACUACUGCCUGAGACUUCACCUACUCAUCAUUGUGCUGACAUUCUGGCAGAAGGAACUCAUACGCGAAAUGAUCUGAAGGAUCAGAUCAGCCUUGGCCUGAGAGUUUGAGCUGGUACACGGAUGGCAGUAGCCUAGAGGUUGAGGGUAAGCGGAAGGCGGGGACAGCAGUGCAGUGGUGGACAGAAAGCAAGUGAUCUAGGCCAGCAGCCUCCUUAAAGGGACCUCAGCCCAGAAAGCUAAACUUGUGGCUUUAAUACAAGCUCUAUAUAUACAGACCAAGAGAGCUGUUGACAUCUGCAGAGAAAGACCUAAGAUGCUGUGGCUAAAAGAAAUCAGAUGGCAAAUCUAACCGCCCAGGCAUCCUAAAGAGCAAUGAUCCUGACAGUCUAAAGACUAUCAAGUUAUAGACAAAUUAAGACUGGUAAAAGAAACCCUGUAUAAAAUAGUAGAAACUGAAGAAAGAAAACUAGUCCUCUCAUGAGAAGACAUCUACUGAAAAAUAAACUUCACUGAAAAAAAAUAUGUGUAUAAAUACCUUCUGGUUUUUGUGAACGUUCUCAAGAUAGAUAAAAGCUUUUCCUUGUAAAAAUGAGACUGCUCAGAUAGUCAUCAAGAAGAUUAAAAUUUUCCAAGGUUCGGAGUGCCAAAAGCAAUAGUGUCAGAUAAUGGUCCUGCCUUUGUUGCCCAGGUAAGUCAGGGUGUGGCCAAGUAUUUAGAGGUCAAAUGAAAAUUCCAUUGUGUGUACAGACCUCAGAGCUCAGGAAAGAUAAAAAAGAAUAAAUAAAACUCUAAACAGACCUUGACAAAAUUAAUCCUAGAGACUGGCACAGACUUACUUGGUGCCCCUUCCCCUUGCCCUAUUUAAAACUGAGAAUACUCCCUCUUGAUUCAGUUUUACUCUUUUUGAGAUCCUUUAUGGGGCUCCUGUGCCCAUCACUGUCUUAAAUGAUGUGUUUAUAAUAAUGAUCUGUAUACUAAGUUAAAAGGCUUACAGGUGGUGCAGAAAAAAGUCUGGUCACAACUGGCUACAGUGAACGAGCUGGGUACCCCAAGGACAACUCACCAGUUCCAGCCAGAGAUCUGAUCUACGUACACCUGCGUCAUGCUGAGACCCUCAAGCCUCACUAGAAGGGUCCCUGCCUAGUUCUGUUUACUAAUCUGCCUUAUUCUGUUUCUGUUCCCAUGUUAAAGAUAGAGUAAAUGCAGUAUUCUCCACAUAGAGAUAUAGAUUUCUGAAAUUCUAAGAUUAGAAUUAA
rnacentral:lncRNA from 1 species